rnacentral:tRNA from 1 species
GCAACCAUAGUGUAGUGGUCAACAUGCUCGCCUUCCAUGGUUGAUAGCGAGCGGCCCGGGUUCGAGCCCCGGUGGUUGCA